rnacentral:rRNA from 1 species
AUUGAACGCUGGCGGCAGGCCUAACACAUGCAAGUCGAGCGGAUGAAGGGAGCUUGCUCCUGGAUUCAGCGGCGGACGGGUGAGUAAUGCCUAGGAAUCUGCCUGGUAGUGGGGGAUAACGUCCGGAAACGGGCGCUAAUACCGCAUACGUCCUGAGGGAGAAAGUGGGGGAUCUUCGGACCUCACGCUAUCAGAUGAGCCUAGGUCGGAUUAGCUAGUUGGUGGGGUAAAGGCCUACCAAGGCGACGAUCCGUAACUGGUCUGAGAGGACGAUCAGUCACACUGGAACUGAGACACGGUCCAGACUCCUACGGGAGGCAGCAGUGGGGAAUAUUGGACAACGGGCGAAAGCCUGAUCCAGCCAUGCCGCGUGUGUGAAGAAGGUCUUCGGAUUGUAAAGCACUUUAAGUUGGGAGGAAGGGCAGUAAGUUAAUACCUUGCUGUUUUGACGUUACCAACAGAAUAAGCACCGGCUAACUUCGUG